GGGUGGCUGAGGGGAUGGUAGACCGGUGACGUGCACUUCAUUCACGAUGUAGGUCACCUGUUUCACUAUCCAUCAGCACCC
rnacentral:pre_miRNA from 1 species